AGACCCGAAACCCGGUGAUCUAGCCAUGGGCAGGUUGAAGGUUGGGUAACACUAACUGGAGGACCGAACCGACUAAUGUUGAAAAAUUAGCGGAUGACCUGUGGCUGGGGGUGAAAGGCCAAUCAAACCGGGAGAUAGCUGGUUCUCCCCGAAAGCUAUUUAGGUAGCGCCUCGUGAAUUCAUCUCCGGGGGUAGAGCACUGUUUCGGCCAGGGGGCCAUCCCGGCUUACCAAUCCGAUGCAAACUGCGAAUACCGGAGAAUGUUAUCACGGGAGACACACGGCGGGUGCUAACGUCCGUCGUGAAGAGGGAAACAACCCAGACCGCCAGCUAAGGUCCCAAAGUCAUGGUUAAGUGGGAAACGAUGUGGGAAGGCCCAGACAGCCAGGAUGUUGGCUUAGAAGCAGCCAUCAUUUAAAGAAAGCGUAAUAGCUCACUGGUCGAGUCGGCCUGCGCGGAAGAUGUAACGGGGCUAAACCA
rnacentral:rRNA from 1 species